AGGUCAGAAAUGAUUAAUCAUAGACGGUUUCGGCCCGCCCUUAGGUGGUAACCAGCCCACCCUGGCUUU
rnacentral:tRNA from 1 species